rnacentral:tRNA from 1 species
GGGUAGAUGCCCGAGUGGUUAAAGGGGGCAGACUGUAAAUCUGCUGGCUUACGCCUACGCUGGUUCGAAUCCAGCUCUGCCCACCA